GACGUAGGUGGCAAGCGUUGUCCGGAGUUAUUGGGCGUAAAGCGCGCGCAGGCGGUUCGGUAAGUCCAUGGUGAAAGCGCCCGGCUCAACUGGGCGAGUGCCGUGGGGACUGCCGAGCUGGAGGGGAGCAGAGGCGAGUGGAAUUCCGGGUGUAGUGGUGAAAUGCGUAGAGAUCCGGAGGAACACCAGUGGCGAAGGCGGCUCACUGGCCCGGUACUGACGCUGAGGUGCGAAAGCGUGGGGAGCAAACAGG
rnacentral:rRNA from 1 species